GGAGAUUUUAUUUUUUAUUGGUUGGUUGGGGUUUUUUGAGUACUCAGUAAACAAGACCUUUUUUUAUUUCUGUCAGAGAGGAGGUUCUGGCGCUCUUGGGGUCGGUGUGCUUCUGUCCCGUCCCCAGACUCCUGCUGACACCUGCUGGCCUCCCGCUGGCAGGAGGCUCAGGAUGUUGGGGGACUGGCUGGAAAAGAGGGCCAGCUCUCUUCUCUUCUUGCUGCUGCCUUCUAGGCUCUGAGCUGAACUUUAGAGGAGAUUUAUAUAUUUAUAACAAAUAUUUAUCGGGCUGAGCCCACAUUAUUCCAUGACCAUAAGAAGAAUAUCUCUCCUCUGUGCCUGGGAGGACUGUAAAUAUGAUCCUUAGUUGCUUCAGUAUUUCUUCUAGGCUCUUCUGAAAAUGGGACAGGCCAAGCUGGUGACAAUGGAGCAGAGAUCCACUUCACACCAACUGAGGGGGCUGGCUUGCCACAGGAUGAGGCAUCCCACAACCCACUCAAGGAGACAAGAGUUUCAGCUGAGCAGAAGCUGUACAGUGUAAAUUGACUCAUCAUAUGUUUCAAAAUGAAACACCAGUGCUGGCAAUUUAGCAUCUUUUAUGACAGGACAUUAUGAAACAUUAAUUUUUAGUUUCACUUCAGAGUUUUUGACUCUACAGGGACACUCAGUGCAAUACUGGGGUCAAAAAGAUAUCAGGCUGGAGAAUCUAGUAUUUAUUUUCUAGAAAGCCAGAAUUAUACAAAAACCUAAUUUUCUGUUGCCUUGCCUGAAAUACACUCACUUAUUUAGUUGGCUAAAAAUAGUGUGAAAUAUUAACUUUGCAUUUCUCUAAAUGACGGUGCAGCCAGGGUAGUAGCACAGUCUAAAAAUUUGAGGGUAGGGUUUCAUGUCCUCUGCAAGUGAGUGUCUUGUCAUCUGAACUGAAAGAAGUGGUUUUGGUUUUUUUUCCCCUUUUAGUUUACAGUUUCAAACCUCAAGAACUGCAACACGCAGUACUGCAGAUGUUUAACCCCAGUGAGCAACCGAGUAUCACACAGCCACUGAGUCAUUCCCCUACCAACAGGGUCUGGAGAGAGAAUCUGAAGGGGAACAAUUAGGAAAACCCUUGAACUGAGUAGCACCUGCAGUGUCAGUGUGAAAGGAACAGUUUUACUGAGGAGAAGCUGAACAGAAGGAAAGACGAGCUGCCAUCUUGUGUGGGGAACUGAGACUGCACCAAACGAGGCUACAAUUUUAAGACAAUUAAAAAUUUAUUAUACCUUUGGGAAUUUAUUAAGUAAAGAUGGUUUCACUUUACUUCCAUACUUUAUAUUAGCUUUUAACUAAUAAAAAUAAAUCACUUCAA